UAUAUUUUCUAAAUCCAGUUAUCGGAUGUUCUCACACACUCUUGAUGUGUGAGAACAUCCGAUAACUGGAUUUAGAAAAUAUACAA
rnacentral:pre_miRNA from 1 species